AUUGCACGCUGGCGGCAGGCCUAACACAUGCAAGUCGAACGAGUGGAGGAAGGGUGAGUAAUGUAUGGGAAACUGCCAGAUGGAGGGGGAUAACUGCGGGAAACGGUAGCUAAUCCCGCCUACUCUCGGAUGUGCCCAGAUGGGAUGAGAUAGUAGGUGGGGUACCGGCUCACCUAGGCGACGAUCCCUAGCUGGUCUGAGAGGAUGACCAGCCACACUGGAACUGAGACACGGUCCAGACUCCUACGGGAGGCAGCAGGGGGGAAUAUUGCACAAUGGGCGCAAGCCUGAUGCAGCCAUGCCGCGUGUAUGAAGAAGGCCUUCGGGUUGUAAAGUACUUUCAGCGAGGAGGCGUUACUCGCAGAAGAAGCACCGGCUAACUCCGUGCCAGCAGCCGCGGUAAUUC
rnacentral:rRNA from 1 species